UUCUGAUAUAGCUGGUUUACCCUUGUUAGA
rnacentral:piRNA from 1 species